rnacentral:rRNA from 1 species
GUGGGGGAUAUUGCACAAUGGGGGAAACCCUGAUGCAGCAACGCCGCGUGAAGGAAGAAGGUCUUCGGAUUGUAAACUUUUGUCCUUGGUGAAGAUAAUGACGGUAGCCAAGGAGGAAGCUCCGGCUAACUACGUGCC